rnacentral:lncRNA from 1 species
AUGAGUCAGGCAGCAGCUGUUAGCAAUACAAAAGAAUGGGUAAAUGGCCUUGAUGGGCCAUCUAUCUCAAACCUUCUCAAUCAAUUGGACAGACUUUUUGCCCAGCUCAGGGGUCACAGGACCACUGAUAGGUCUGCCAUGGAAAUGCAUGGCCAUGAAUUCUCCCUCCAGGGUCUAUGCAUAGGAAAGACAGAAGCAUGGAAGCGUAAGUGGAAGCAUGGAAGGAAAGCAAGAAGGUCCAAACCAGACAGCAGAGAAUUGCACUCCAUCCCACACAAAACUUCAAGACAGCUGCCAUAUCAGGAAUUGUUCUUCAGUGUAAUGGAAGACAGAAGUAGGGAGCACCAAGUCAGGCUGGAAGUCGUGAAGACUCUAAGAAAGUUGUCCCUAAGGCUCUUGCUGUUGUUCAUCUGGGAUUUCUGAGGUGCACCCCUGCUCCACACAGAGACUCGUUUCUUCCCUGUUACGUGGAACCAAACGAGGACACAUCUUGAAAGGAACCCCGCUGAAGGAACUGCUCCGCCAUCCCACAAAGUAAUGCCGCCGCUCCUCCAACAUGAAGACAGCUUCACACCAAGCUCAGCCUUUCUCCUUCCGAGGUCUCCCGGCUCUCAUGCCAGCACCGUCCCACCACCCAACUCCCACAGCCAGCACCUGACAGCCGCCAUCCCCUGCGCCCCACGAGGAGCUGCCCGCCCUCAGGCAGCCGUGCGCUCCCUCCGCCCGCAG